rnacentral:rRNA from 1 species
GGGCCCGCACAAGCGGCGGAGCAUGCGGAUUAAUUCGAUGCAACGCGAAGAACCUUACCUGGGUUUGACAUAUAGGGAAAUCUCCCAGAGAUGGGGGGUCCGUAAGGGUCCUAUACAGGUGGUGCAUGGCUGUCGUCAGCUCGUGUCGUGAGAUGUUGGGUUAAGUCCCGCAACGAGCGCAACCCUCGUCCUAUGUUGCCAGCACGUUAUGGUGGGGACUCAUAGGAGACUGCCGGGGUCAACUCGGAGGAAGGUGGGGAUGACGUCAAGUCAUCAUGCCCCUUAUGUCCAGGGCUUCACGCAUGCUACAAUGGCCGGUACAAAGGGCUGCGAAGCUGUAAGGUGGAGCGAAUCCCAAAAAGCCGGUCUCAGUUCGGAUUGGGGUCUGCAACUCGACCCCAUGAAGUCGGAGUCGCUAGUAAUCGCAGAUCAGCAACGCUGCGGUGAAUACGUUCCCGGGCCUU